UACAGGGGAUACAAGCGUUACUCGGAAUCACUGGGCGUAAAGCGUCUGUAGGCUUUCUAGACAGUCUGAGGUCAAAUGUCGGGGCCCAACCCCGUCAACGUCUUGGAUACUACUAGAAUUGAGCAAUGGAGAGGCACCUGGAAUGCCAUGUGUAGGAGUAAAAUCCGUAGAUAUAUGGUAGAACGCCAAAGGUGAAGGCAGGGUGCUGGCCAUUCACUGACGCUGAGAGGCGAAAGCGUGGGGAGCAAAGAGG
rnacentral:rRNA from 1 species